rnacentral:rRNA from 1 species
CUUUAGUUACCAUCAUUAAGUUGGGGACUCUAGAGAGACUGCCGGUGGAUAAACCGGAGGAAGGUGGGGAUGACGUCAAAUCAUCAUGCCCCUUAUGACCUGGCUACACACGUACUACAAUGGCGCAUACAACGAGCUGCAAGAUGGUGACAUCAAGCGAAUCUCUUAAAAUGCGUCUCAGUUCGGAUUGGAGUCUGCAACUCGACUCCAUGAAGUCGGAAUCGCUAGCAAUCGCGGAUCAGCAUGCCGCGGUGAAUACGUUCUCGGGUUU